AUAAUGUUGAGGAUUGAACCCAGGACCUUGACAUGCUAGCCGGCAGGGUCUGCAGAGCUGGGGCUCCAGGGCAUGCUGUCUUGUGGUGUCCUAUGCCUACCUUUGCCUUGCACACGGAGGUUGGAAGGCAGAGGGCCAGCGUGUCAACACCUCCGAGUCACACCAUAUAAUUCAGAGCCUCUUUUGACUCUCAGGCUGAUGUCAACAUUUCCCUACCUUGCUGAGAGGCCCAUGUGAUGACUAUACAUUAAUUUACAUUUGCUUGCGUUCCAAUAAUGAAUUCCAGAUCAGAGCUGGACCAACGUGGAGGCAGAAGCUGAUGUUUCCUGGAGGAUAGGAACAAAGAAACAAGCAAUCAAAGGAAACAAGGCAAAGCCCUUCCUGGCCUAGGGAGAUGGCUUUUCAGAUGAAAAUGCUUGGCCCACGAGGCCCAUGGCCUGGGCUCUGAUCUCUGGAAUCCAAGUAAAAGCCAGAUGCGAGGGCACAUGCCUGUAAUCCCAGCAUUCCUAGGGUGAAAUGAGAGGCAGAAAGAGGAGAAUAGCUUGAAAGCUUACAGGCCAGCUAGCUUGGAACAAGAAGCGCAGCAGCAGACAAGAGAGACCCUGCCUCAAACAAGGAUGAAGGCAGGAACUGAUACCCGAGGUUGUUCUGACCUCCAUACACGUGCCGUGGCACAUGUGUACGCUCACACAGAAACACACAGACACACACAGACACACACAUACACAUAGAUACACACAGGCAGACAGACACAUACA